GGGCCCGCACAAGCGGUGGAGCAUGUGGUUCAAUUCGACGCAACGCGAAGAACCUUACCCAGGCUCGAACGGCGACUGACAUCCGGCGAAAGCCGGCUCCCGCAAGGGUAGUCGUCGAGGUGCUGCAUGGCUGUCGUCAGCUCGUGUCGUGAGAUGUUGGGUUAAGUCCCGCAACGAGCGCAACCCUUGUCCGCUGUUGCCAUCAGGUUAUGCUGGGCACUCUGCGGAGACUGCCGGUGAUAAACCGGAGGAAGGUGGGGAUGACGUCAAGUCAGCAUGGCCUUUAUGUCUGGGGCUACACACGUGCUACAAUGGCCGGUACAAACCGUCGCGAUCUCGCAAGAGGGAGCUAAUCGGAGAAAGCCGGUCUCAGUUCGGAUUGCAGGCUGCAACUCGCCUGCAUGAAGUUGGAAUCGCUAGUAAUCGCGGAUCAGCACGCCGCGGUGAAUACGUUCCCGGGCCUU
rnacentral:rRNA from 1 species